CCUGGUCACCCUAUCAUCUUCUGUGAGCCCCUGAAGAACAAAGACCACAGUAAGUGAUCAGUGUUGUAUCCCCAGUACCUGUCAUGAUGCCUGGAGCAUGAAGGCAUUCAGUAAAGAUUCUUUUCCAUUAUAGGUUAUUAUAAGAUAUUGAGUAUAAUUUCCUGUGCUGUACACCAUGUGGCUGACAGGGUCCUGGUGCUCUGGCCGGGCAUCAGAUCUGAGCCUCUUAGGUGAGAGAGUGGAGUUCAGGACAUUGGUCCACCAGAGAACUCCCAACCCCACAUAAUAUCAAUCAGCAAGAGCUUUCCCAGAGAUCUCUGUCUUAAUGCUAAGACCCAGCUCCACUCAACGACCACCAAGCUACAGUGAUGGACACCCUAUGUCAAACAACUAGCAAGACAGGAACACAACCCCAUCCAUUAGA